UACGUAGGGUGCAAGCGUUAAUCGGAAUUACUGGGCGUAAAGAGUGCGUAGGCGGAUGUAUAAGUUAGAAGUGAAAUCCCUGAGCUUAACUUAGGAACAGCUUUUAAGACUGUAGAUCUAGAGUUUGUAAGAGGGGGGUAGAAUUCCAAGUGUAGCAGUGAAAUGCGUAGAGAUUUGGAGGAAUACCGAUGGCGAAGGCAGCCCCCUGGGAUAAAACUGACGCUGAGGCACGAAAGCGUGGGUAGCAAACAGG
rnacentral:rRNA from 1 species